rnacentral:rRNA from 1 species
UACGUAGGGGGCGAGCGUUGUCCGGAUUCAUUGGGCGUAAAGAGCGUGUAGGCGGCCAGGUAGGUCUGCUGUGAAAACUCGAGGCUUAACCUCGAGCUGUCGGCGGAAACCAUCUGGCUAGAGUCCGGAAGAGGAGAAUGGAAUUCCCGGUGUAGCGGUGAAAUGCGCAGAUAUCGGGAAGAACACCCGUGGCGAAGGCGGUUCUCUGGGACGGUACUGACGCUGAGACGCGAAAGCGUGGGGAGCGAACAGG